AAGGAAUAUUGCUCAAUGGGAGAAAUCCUGAAGCAGCAACGCCGCGUGGAGGAUGAAGGGUCUAUGACUUGUAAACUCCUGUAAAGAAGGAAAAAAUUCCCAUUAGAUGGGAGAUGAUGGUACUUCUGGAGUAAGCCCCGGCUAACUACGUGCCAGCAGCCGCGGUAAUACGUAGGGGGCAAGCGUUGUCCGGAUUUACUGGGUGUAAAGGGUGCUCAGGCGGAUUUGUAAGUCAGAGGUGAAAUCUUACAGCUUAACUGUGAAACUGCCUUUGAUACUGCAAGCCUAGAGUAUGGAAGAGAGUGAUGGAAUAUCUGGUGUAGCAGCGAAAUGCGUAGAUAUCAGAUAGAACACCAAUGGCGAAGGCAGUCACUUGGUCCAUUACUGACGCUAAAGCACGAAAGCGUGGGUAGCAAACA
rnacentral:rRNA from 1 species